UUUGUGACGUGUGCUGCCGCGAUUGGGACGGUGAAUGUCCCGUCCAUGGACCGCUAAAGAUCAUACACGAUACCAAGGCACGACCCGGUAUCGGAGAUGCCGACAGGGACGUCAAGACCCUGCCGCCUUCUCUCAGCUCUGGUCAGUCGAGAAAUCCAGCGUCUGGCACCGGAGUUUUGGCAGAAAAGGACCUUCCUGCGCGCCAAAGACUCGGUCCUUACGAGGGUAUCUUGACCACCGAACAGGGUCAGGCUCGAACCACCGGGUACAGAUGGCAGAUCAAGAAGGGUGACCGGGUGCAUCACUCGGUGAAUGCCGAAGACCCGAGCUGCAGCAAUUGGCUCAGAAGGGUCAACUGUGCCCGCUCGGAGGAAGAACAAAACCUAGUGGCCUUCCAGUACCGGGGUCAGAUAUACUUCAGGACGUCAAAGCCCGUUCCGCGGGGCUCUGAGCUGCUGGUGUACUACGGAGACGACUCGGCCCGGGAACUGACCGUCCACUCGGAGACGUCUGGGCAGUCUGUGACUUCCUCUCCGGCCGGACCGUCAUCUUCAGGU